rnacentral:rRNA from 1 species
CGCUCCGCAAGGAGAGUGGCAGACGGGUGAGUAACGCGUGGGAACCUUCCUAUUGGUUCGGAGUAGCUCAGGGAAACUUGGGGUAAUACCGGAUACGCCCUACGGGGGAAAGAUUUAUCGCCGAUAGAUGGGCCCGCGUCUGAUUAGCUAGUUGGUGAGGUAAUGGCUCACCAAGGCGACGAUCAGUAGCUGGUUUGAGAGAAUGACCAGCCACACUGGGACUGAGACACGGCCCAG